rnacentral:rRNA from 1 species
GCAGCAGUAGGGAAUCUUCCGCAAUGGACGAAAGUCUGACGGAGCAACGCCGCGUGAGUGAUGAAGGUUUUCGGAUCGUAAAGCUCUGUUGUUAGGGAAGAACAAGUGCGAGAGUAACUGCUCGCACCUUGACGGUACCUAACCAGAAAGCCACGGCUAACUACGUGCCAGCAGCCGCGGUAAUACGUAGGUGGCAAGCGUUGUCCGGAAUUAUUGGGCGUAAAGGGCUCGCAGGCGGUUUCUUAAGUCUGAUGUGAAAGCCCCCGGCUCAACCGGGGAGGGUCAUUGGAAACUGGGAAACUUGAGUGCAGAAGAGGAGAGUGGAAUUCCACGUGUAGCGGUGAAAUGCGUAGAGAUGUGGAGGAACACCAGUGGCGAAGGCGACUCUCUGGUCUGUAACUGACGCUGAGGAGCGAAAGCGUGGGGAGCGAACAGGAUUAGAU